GAUGAACGCUAGCGGCAGGCUUAACACAUGCAAGUCGAGGGGCAGCGCGAUGUAGCAAUACAUUGGCGGCGACCGGCGCACGGGUGCGUAACACGUAUGCAACCUUCCUGUCACUGGGGAAUAGCCCGGAGAAAUCCGGAUUAAUACCCCAUAAUACCUUGGGAGGCAUCUCCCGGGGUUGAAAACUCCGGUGGUGACGGAUGGGCAUGCGCCCGAUUAGCUAGUUGGUGAGGUAACGGCUCACCAAGGCUACGAUCGGUAGGGGGCCUGAGAGGGUU
rnacentral:rRNA from 1 species